rnacentral:rRNA from 1 species
UACGUAGGUGGCAAGCGUUAUCCGGAUUUAUUGGGCGUAAAGGGAACGCAGGCGGUCUUUUAAGUCUGAUGUGAAAGCCUUCGGCUUAACCGGAGUAGUGCAUUGGAAACUGGGAGACUUGAGUGCAGAAGAGGAGAGUGGAACUCCAUGUGUAGCGGUGAAAUCCGUAGAUAUCUGGAGGAACAUCAGUGGCGAAGGCGGCCACCUGGACCGGUAUUGACGCUGAGGCGCGAAAGCGUGGGGAGCAAACAGG